rnacentral:sRNA from 1 species
UUUCUCUGCCAGGACAAGUUUGUCGUCUGCUCUGAGCUAUCAAGCCCCUUAGGAGACCUAGGACCCAGCUGGGUCCCAUCCCUUUGGAGUAGCUGCUUCAGACUAGGAAGCACCUAAUUCUUGUGGGCAAAGGAGCCAUGGAAGAUAGAGCUGGUGAGCAAGAGCAGGAGAGACACAGCCUUCGUCUGGAAAAGCUACAACACUGGGCGAGGCACAGGCAGAGUGGGCACCUCUUGGUGCUAGCGGUGAGGCCAGGCUACCCCAUCCCAGGUCUCAGCAUGUCCACUUCUACCCAAUUCAAUUCCAUCCAUCCAUCCAUCCAUGUUAAGUGAGCACCUACCAUGUGCCAGAAACUGGGCUAGGUUCUGAAUGGGAGGAGGGUAGAGGAAAACAUAGAAAUAAACAAGGCAAGACCCUUAAUCUCCCAAGUAGCUUCCAUCUUGUGGGGGAAAACAUACAGGUAAGUAACUAAACUACAAUAUGAGGCAGAAAAAAUUAAAUGAUACUUAAUUUUUAAUGAUCACUUCCUUGCUCUGGGUUGACUGCUUUCCUCCACCCUGCAUUCAAUCCCAUUCGUGAUCUCUAAAGAG